rnacentral:tRNA from 1 species
UGCUUAUGGUGUAGUGGUAACACGACUCUCUGUGGCAGAGUAAUCACGGGUUCGAUCCCUAUUGAGCAAA